GAAAAAAACCCGCCACUGACGAAACACAGAGAACAGGUGGGGAACCAUCAACCACGCACAAUACACAAAUCAAGAUCCAAUAGAAAUUGAGAGGAAUCAAAUCUAAUUCCAACAGACAGAAAUGUUCCCACUUCCCAGCACUAAAGAGAACAGUUUAGGAAUGAUCUCACUUUUCUUGUAACUUUCUCUUCCCCCUGUAAACAAACCAACAAAGUUGAAACAGAAUCCAAUGCAAAUUUAUAAUCGUUGAACAAAUCUACAAAUCUUUCAUUGCUUAGCCAUCAUCCCAGGCAGGGGUUUCUGACAAUUCAGAUUUUAACCACAACAAUCCUGCUGGCAGUUUCUGCAUAUUACUGGAACAUUAAUAAUAAAGAUACCCAAUGGGUCAGCAGAUGGCUAUCUGUAAUACAAUUCCAGUAGAAAAUUCGAGUCAAGAAACCAGAGAUUAACCAGUAAUCGCCAUUACUUUUCAUGACUG
rnacentral:misc_RNA from 1 species